UACAUGGGGUGCAAACGUUGCUCGGAAUUAUUGGGCGUAAAGCGCACGUAGGCGGUUUGUUAAGUCGGAUGUGAAAUCCCUCGGCUCAACUGAGGAAGUGCAUCCGAAACUGGCAGGCUUGAGUACUAAAGAGGGUCGCGGAAUUCCCGGUGUAGAGGUGAAAUUCGUAGAUAUCUGGAGGAACACCGGUGGCGAAGGCGGCAUCCUGGACCGGUAUUGACGCUGAGGCGCGAAAGCCAGGGGAGCAAACGGGG
rnacentral:rRNA from 1 species